CGUGAGCAACCUGCCUUUCAGAGGGGGAUAACAGUUGGAAACGACUGCUAAUACCGCAUAACGCUGCGAUGGGGCAUCCCGAUGCAGCCAAAGGAGCAAUCCGCUGGAAGAUGGGCUCGCGGCCGAUUAGCUAGUUGGUGGGGCAACGGCCCACCAAGGCGACGAUCGGUAGCCGGACUGAGAGGUUGAUCGGCCACAUUGGGACUGAGACACGGCCCAGACUCCUACGGAAGGCAGCAG
rnacentral:rRNA from 1 species